rnacentral:lncRNA from 1 species
AGGCAGUAUGCUUGGUAAAAGUCAUCGCCAUUCUCUAAUCUUGAGUACCCAGGGACACGAUACACUGCGGAAGGCUGCAGGGACCUCUGCCCAGGAAAGCCAGGCUUGCAUGAAGGAAAUGAUUUCCUAUGAUUCUGCUUACUGCUUAAAAAAAUUAAUCAAGUUUUCUGCCUGACAAGAUCCAGUAUCUGCCGGAGGAGCCCCACCUUCUGCUACUAUUAUGUUCUUCAGAUGAGUAGAAGAGAGUGGGGAGGGAGAGAGCAGGAAGAAGAAAGGAAGAAUAAUGUCUUGAAAUUGAUGAUGCAUAUCAUAAAUUAUUACUCACCCCAUGUUCCCACCCUCGAGAGACCUCCAAACAAUCACCAUGCCACAGUGAACAUUCAGUAACAAAAAUUCAGCCAGGGUUUUCACCAGCAUGAAUGGCAGUGAUUCCAAUCAGGAAAACAGAAAGAGGAGAGUUCAGAGCCACCUAGAAUGGCUCUUGCAAGAUACGAAAUCAAGGCAGCAGCAACAGGGCUGAACAUUCCUCAUCCCUAACUCUCCCUUCACCAGUAGGAAACCCAGGAUAACUGCAAUCACCGCAGGCCCAUCUGGCCUGAAGUUCUACUACUAGUAGCCCUCCAUGGGACCUUCUUAAGGAAGCAUGUCAACUCAGGUAAGGGAUGUAAGGGGAUGGAUGACCCUUUGAGGCCAAAGUUGGAGCAAAAAACACCAGAUGUUCCUGUGCACUGCUCCUAAGAGAUGGUUCUGAAGACCAGUUCGGGGAGAGGUCAAAAUACUGGACAGAAUCUCAGCAACAUGGAACCUCAAACUAAGUGACAGUCACAGACAACUCUUCCCCAAAGAAAAUAAGCACAGACAUGGUUUGUGGUAAGCAGAAUUAUAAAGAUGAAUUCCCAUCUCCCUGUCAGAUUACCAGUAUGGUAAAUUACCAGAUUACCUGGUUAUUUAUUCAAACACUAAUACAGUUAUUGCCUUGAUGGAAACAUACAGAUACAAUUAAAAUCCCAAGUACCAAAUAAAUUGACCUUAAGACAAAGACUAAGUAAAUCACAUGAGCCCUCUACAAGCAGAGAGUUUUUCUCCAGCUGGUAGCAGAAGCCAGAGAUUUGAAGCAUAGGAAGUAUUCAACACAUUAUUGCUGGCCUGAAAAUGGAAGGGGCCACAUAACGAGGGAAACCGGUGGCCUCUAGAAGCAGGGAGCAGUCCCCUGCUGACAGACAGCAAGCCAAGACCUCAGUUCUACAAUUGCAAGACACUCAAUUCUGCUAAGGACAAAAAUGAGCUUGGAAGUGAACUCUGAGCUUCAGGAGGAAGCAUGACUCAGGCAACACUCUGUCAUCAACAGAAGAGAGGACUGACAAAGAACAGCUCCGAUAAGUCCCUGGGGACUUGAACAGUGCCUUCCUAUUCUUUAAAAAAAUAUCCUCUUAAGACAUUUAACGUGGAGCCACCAGCACACAACCAAAGAAAAUGGUCUUCAGGUUGAGAUAUGGCCAAGUGAAGCAAUUUGUGGGAGAGGAAGAGACCCAACCAUUAGCACAAAUUAUUCUGUCAUUCAGG